rnacentral:rRNA from 1 species
CAACUUUCAACAAUGGAUCUCUUGGCUCUGGCAUCGAUGAAGAACGCAGCGAAAUGCGAUAAGUAGUGUGAAUUGCAGAAUUUAGUGAAUCAUCGAAUCUUUGAACGCACAUUGCGCCCUUUGGUAUUCCUUAGGGCAUGCCUGUUCGAGCGUCAUAA